rnacentral:tRNA from 1 species
UCGAAAUCGGUAGACSCUACGGACUUAAAAUCCGUUGGCUUUUUAGACCGUGAGGGUUCAAGUCCCUCUACCCCCA